ACAAAGGAGGAUGAUCGUCAGAACAAAGAGAGGGUUAACACGAUUAAAGGCUGGGCCUAAAGUGAUUCGAGCUUUUUAGUUGUACCCUUUGGUACUUGCCGUUUUACUAAGCGACCGAUUGUUCGCUUACGAUUCAUUUGUCUCGAUAUAUGUAACCCCAACGCGGUUCCAACUUUCUUCCUGUUCGUAUGGGCAGCUCUGAUAGAUUCGAAAACGAGGACAUAGUUACCGGCUAACUCUGAAACGCUUAUGGAAACGCACAUUUCGUGAUAAGGACUUGUUUAUAAAACAACAAAUCAUAGCCUCGUAUGAAAAAUCAAAGCGUGACAUACUUACGACGCUGAUAGAAAACAAUAUUGACGAUCGGUAAAAUGUUAGAAACGUCAUUUUGUUUUAAUAAAGCAAUCGCUCACAAAGUUGUAACACACUGUUUUCGAACCUUGGCUACUGACGUUUUUUCAUUUUUUUUUUUUCUCUUUCAGAGAAACUAUUUUGUUGAAAUGACUUGAAAUGUAUGCAUGAAAGGAAGAUCACGUGUUCAGAAACGCAUUGCGUUUCCGAUGAAAAGAAAAUUGCAAUGUCAUCGCGUUGUUACAAGAUUCCCUGCAACUAAUCGGAUUGGAAUAGUCUUAUUAAUUUUCAACUUUAAUUAAUAAUUCUUAACUCAUUAGUCACCAUUUAUAUUUCUCUUGCAAUUCUGAAAAAGAGAAAAAAAAGAAGAACAAUAGGCUGUUAUUAGCGUUGCUUUGACGUCCGAAGUUUAUUGUGUCACGUUUCACCAGCGUCAUAUCCUACCUGUUGAGUUUAACAACGAGAAAAGUAGUUCGUUAAGACCGAUUUAUUAAAUUACUUUACGUUAUUCAAAAUUUUCUUUCCUUUUUCUGUUCUUCGCGCGUUCGCUACCAGUGUCACGUAUCCGUAACGCUCUGAUUUCUCAUGAAUCUACAUUUCGCAUACCUUUGAAACUAAUCAAAGUCGUUUCAAUCUGUCGCAUAAUUUAAGCAACGUAACAAGUUUCGUCACUAUGUGUCCUAUCCACUGUGGCAGACAAGGUGUUAACGCGUUCAUUAUCGCAGUGAAAAUGGACAUCUCUAGUAAGACAUUAGGAUACGUUUGUCUCAUUUGACGAUUUAAACUAAAAUUUAAAGUUUACUUCUAUCUUCUAUUAAUCAAUGCUGAUGAGCCAUGGGUAAUCACAUGCCCGGAUAGCAAAUUUACAAUGACGCAUAACACGUUCGAUUCUAUGACCAGUAACCAUCUAUGCAUCUUAAAUGAUUUCGCACGAUCAAUACCGCUAUCAGUACAUAUUUUUACCCUCUGAACGUAUAUACAGAUUAUGAUCAAACAUUGAUCAACGCUAAUCCUAUCAGGAUGUUGUUAUUGAUUACAAAUUGAUAAUUUAUGAUAAUAAUAACAUUAUCUGUAUAGGUAUUAUAUAUUUAAACAACGCAUAAAUUUUCAGAGAAAAAUUCUACUAAGUACAUAAAAACAUAUGAAAUGAAACAAAAAAAAAAAAAAAAAAAUUAUUCAAAUAGCAUAGAUUUAGAUAAUAAACCAGUUUUUGUAUACAAAAACUCUGGUUUUCCAUGUUCCAGCUAAUUAUCUCACCCACCUAUGCCAUUGCCUAUGCACUGACGCCCCUACCCUUCAGACUUCUCUUCUUGCACUGCAUCGAGAGAUUCAAAUACCGAUAUAAAAAUUAUAUGUUUAACGAUGGCUAGCAUUUUGCAAAACUUACAUCGAACAAUAAGCAUUCGAUAGUAACGUUUUCCAUGUACGACUUGCAUGCUUAAAGUCACGUAGACGACAUACAGGAUCACAAUGUCAUUGUACGCAAGGCUCGUGUAAGCAUUUAGAAGGACAUUUCAUACUUUCGUCGUCUUUUUUGAUAUGCAACAAAACUGGUUUCACACUGGUUUUGACUGACAUACGCGUUGAACAGAGUAUACGGCUACAUAUUUCGUACGUGUGGGUACAAUCUGUGCUGAAUACAUUUCUGACAUCGGUAUACGCUACGUAAGAUGUUAGAAAAAAAGAAUACUCAUUCAUCGAUAUUGCAUUUGAUUUAAAUCAAAUGAACAAGGAGAUAAAAAGUUUCAGAGAAGGCGACAGAAAAAGUAUUCACUGAAAUUCCCAAGAAAAAACGGCCACCGAAUGACUUAGCAGACUUUCAUUCUGUUUAACCGUUAGACUGUUAAUUAAAAAUUCAAUUCGUUUGUUACUCGGAAGCGUGGCAAUCGUUCUCUGGAAUUUUCGUUGAAAUGUUCAGAGUUUUGUUAAAGUAUUGAUUUGACAAUUUCGUGAUCGCAUAAAAAUAGUGAGAAAAUCUACUGUAGGUACAAUGCAACAUGUUAAGAAAAAGACGUAUCAUAUUAUCAAUGAAGUUAUCGCAAUGAUACUUCACCGAAUCUAUUCAGAAUAAAGGUCGCUUACACAACCAAAAGCGCAAAGUCCACGGUUGAACAGUUGUCGUUGUUUAGCAGCUACGAUAAGAACAUAAUUACUACAUUCGUGCAGCGAAUCGAUUCCUACUUGAUCGCAUACGCAAAGACGUAUUUUCAAUGUACAUUAUCAAGCACGAUUAACAUGGAAUUUACCUUAAUUUUCCAUGAAAUCGCAAAAAUCUGAAUUGUAAGAUAUUCUAUACACGUUCGAGACAGUAAUUGUAUCAUUUCAUAAACGCUUUCCAACAUUCAACAUACAUCAUAUAAAGUAGAAAAAUGAUUCAGUAGUUGGUAUUUUAAUAGAUACGAAGAUUUUUCUCGUAUCGUUUGCGCGGAUGUCAUCAUUAGCAUUCUGAACGUUACAUUUCAUACUUUAUUUCUUAUUCCCUCUAUGUCUAACGCAAAUACAAUGAUAUUAGCAAUCGUUUCUUAACUUUUUUAAAACACUCUGCAUAUAAUAUUUCAUCGUUUUAUUGUCGAUAGUCAUAGCAUUAUGCACUUAAUAAGUUUCAGACCUCGAGGAACAGAAGGAAGCCAUGGAAACUUCUUAAAAGUUUUAUCACGACUAUGCCUCACGGUGCAUCGACACGAUAUUAUCACGAGGCCAUUCUGAUCUAUCUAUCAAACUUAAUAUUAUACAUAUCCUUCAUUCGUUCGUUGGUGACCUUUUUGCAUAUUUUCUUUCAAAGGAAAAUAAAAGGCAAGGAGAGAUUCAUUUGUUUGCGCGUAUAAAACUUUCAAAUACCUGACUACCAAUGAAGCUUGAAAGAAUAUUCUUGAAGAACAAUUGUUAUGUAAAUGUUAAGUAUUUUACUUACAA